GAGAUGGCUUAGACCUGGAGAAGGAAACGGAGGCGGAGGAGAGGGCGGAAAUCCUCAAAGACUGCUUUCUCCUCUUCGUGAUCUCAGCCGAGCCAAGAAGGUCGAUGUGGAGGUAGCGAAACCCAUAGUUUCAUGCAUCCCCGACCUAGAUUCUCAGUACGCAGACUUAUCAUCUACCGGACCUUUUUCUCCAGGGUGCUGGAAGACUUUUGACCUUGCUAAGAUGUUGAGUUGUUUACACAACAUGCUGGCCGAAAAUCUAUGAACAUGGAAGAUGUCAUACA